UUGGUUUUUUUUUUUGAAAUCAAUGAUGGAUAGGUAAGUGCAGUUCUUGGGUCAGGUACAAAUUCAGCAUUCAGGGAAUGCGCUCCGAUAGUGUUUGACCCUCAGCAGGGACAGUGCACAGCAGCGGCCGAGGGGAUUCCUGUGCCCCUGGGCAGGAGUCAGGACUCUGGAUCUGGGCUCAACACUGCAAAGUUCCCGUGUUUGGACAGAGGAAGGGGCUGUCCCCGGGGCGCGCGGGGCUCGGCCGUGGGGCGAGCGGGGAACGGACACGCGGACAAACGGCCUCGGUGCUUCAGUUGCAGAGGCAGCAGCGGCGGCGGCGGCAGCAGCGGCGGCAGCAGCGGCAGCAAAAGCAGUUUUUCUCUUCUUUCUCUUUCUCUUCUUUCUCUCCGGCUGUGGGACACCUUCCUCUCGGUGUCCCUCACCCGCUGUCCCUCCCCUCUCCCCGCCUCCUUCUCCCCCAUGCCGGGCCGGGCCAUGCCCCCGGCCCGCCCCCGGCCCCGGGCGGGGCUGCCCCGUCCCCGCCCCCGCCCGCCCCGCCGCGGUCUCGCCUCCGCCCGGCUCUGGGCGUGCUGGCGGUGGCGCUGCUGGGCGGGCAUCAGUGCCUGGGGCUGGGCCCUUUGGCUCCGCCUGGCCCGAGCCCGGCCCCGGCCCCGGCCCCGGCCCCGGCUCCUCCCGGGCCCCGCGGAGGACACACGCGGCACGGCCGCUGCCGCCUCCGCCGCGGCUUCCCCGGCCCGAGCUCCGCUGCUCAGCAGCGCGGCCGCCGGCCCCGAGCCUCCCGUGUCCCGUUCCCGAGACCGAAGGCCUGGGGAUGGCCGGCCCGGGGCGGUUGAGGGGCGCUCGGGGGCCGCUCCUGGCCCCGGGCCGAGCGCUGACAGCCGCGUCCCGCCCGCAGGGAAGGCGCAGGAGGCGCUGCAGCAGCGCUACCGAGUGGGUUCGCUGCUGGGGCGCGGCGGCUUCGGCAGCGUCUUCGCAGCCACGCGGCUCUCGGACGGUGCCCCGGUGGCCAUCAAAAGGGUGCCACGGAACCGCGUCCGGCACUGGGACGAGCUGCCCGACGGCACCAGCGCACCCCUGGAGAUCGUGCUGCUGGACAAGGUGUCCACUGGCUUCCCUGGUGUGGUCCAGCUGCUGGAGUGGCUUGAGCUCCCCAACAACAUCGUGAUGGUGCUGGAGCGGCCGGAGCGGUCUCAGGACCUCCUGCAUUUCAUUCGGGCACGGAGGUUCCUGUCUGAAGAGGUGGCACGGCAGCUGUUCCGCCAGGUGCUGGAGGCCGUGCGGCACUGCACCAGCCGAGGGGUCCUGCACCGCGACAUCAAACCAGAGAACAUCCUGGUUGACCUGGCCACUGGCCAGGCAAAAUUGAUCGACUUUGGCUGCGGCACCUACCUGCAAGACACAGCCUACACUCACUUUGCAGGAACACUGUCAUACAGCCCCCCGGAAUGGACCCACUUGGGCUGGUACCAUGGCGAGGCAGCAACGAUCUGGUCCCUGGGCAUCCUGCUGCACCAGAUGGUCUGCGGGCAGCACCCUUUCAGGAGGGGCCGGAAGAUCAGCUGGGACCAUCAGCUCUCGCUGCCACAGCGGCUCUCUCCAGGGAAGGAGAAGGAGUCCUUGGAGAAGCUGUACCAGGUGGGGCUGCUGCUGCUGCUGGAGACAGCGACGACAACAUCAAGGAUGACAACCUCUUCCUCAACCUGGCCACUGGCAGCUGAAGAUGAUGGACUUGUGGCACCGUCUUCAAAGCCAGGCUCCACAGCGAAUUCGCAGAUGAGUCCACAGCCGGGGAAAUGCUCCCAGAUUUGGGCAUUGCUCAGACUGGCUGGGAACAAAAGUUUCUCCCUUUGCUGGGGCAGAUGCAACUUCAGUCGGCUGCCCAGCUGCUUUUUGGCAGGGCUGGGGGCAUGGGCUGGGGUGGAUACAAGAUGGGAGUUGGCUCCUGGCCCUGCCAACAGCCCCCAGCACCCAGCAUGGCCUGGGCUGAGGCUGGGGCUGGGGCUGGGGCAGCCAGCCCGGCACAGAGAAACCCCCAUGGCGGGAGCAGAGGUGGGACUCCAGAACCUGUGCAGGGGCUGCUUUGCUUUGCAGGCAAGGAAGGGCUUGGGCUGCUCCACUGCCCUUGUUUGCUUUGGGAUCACCGUUAUUUUGGGGGGCAGUGCAGGAGGGAAGAGAGAAAGUGUGGCCUUCUCUCCCCCAUGGGUGGGAUUUUCCCUAGCAUGUAGGGGUUGGGCCUUCCUCAGACCUCUGACAGAGAUAAGAGUUUUUUUCUUGUUUCCCCUUGUCUCUAAUCUCUUUUCAACAGUUUGUUGUUUGUUUUUCUAGAGGAAGCGUUCUAUGUAAGGUCCAGUCGGGAUUGGGAAGUGCCUGGGAGCAGCUGCAGCGUGGAUGGGCCGUGCCCUUGGAGAAGGCUGAGGACAUCGUUUGGGACCAGCUUUUCUCCCAGCGGAGGAUGGCGUGAGCCGGGCUCUGCGGGUGCUGAGGCUGCUCUGGGCUCUGCCAGGGCUCUGCUGGGCUCUGCCCCGGGCACAGCUGGGCUGGCUCUGCCCUCACAUUGCUCUGACAGCUUUGCAUCAGACGAGCCCGUUGGAGCACAGUGCCUGAGCUUUCUGCUUUGGCAGAAGUGCCAUGAGUGGGCCAAAGCUGGCAAGUGAGCCGUGUUCCUGAGGCAGUGCAGUCUGGAGCUGAUGGAUGGAGAAUUGCCCUUCCCACUUCCAAAGCAGAGCAAAAAGCCAGGUCCUGGCCCUCUUCCAGCCAAAAGGGAAAGGGCCCCACCAAGCCUUGUUACCCACAGACAACAUGGUAAAGCUGAACACUAAAGGACCUUGGGGGCAUUAUUCUGGAAUUAAAAAGUUGCCAGCUCCAUGGACAACAGAAUUAUUGUUCCUAACCUGAAUGACAUUGAGCAAAAAGAAUGAAGAACGGUGUCACUAAAGUACUACUGACGUUUGCCAAAACACCUCCAGAGUUUCACCAAGGGAUCAGUCAUCAAAAUGUUUUGAAAAUUUAAAGACCAAGGUAGCCAAAGCACACAGUGUCACUAAUUGCUGGGUAUGUUCUCAGCUGAAGUUGGGAGGAAUGGGGUUCCCUUGGAGGGCCCACCCUGUGGGGUGGCCAGAACUCUGUCAAUGGGCUCUGCCUCGUAACGGAGUCAAUGAAGGGACAGUUACAGAAACCUGUGCUGUGGGACACGGGAAUACAACGAUCAGUGUGACAGGAUUCACUCAGAUUUCCCCUCAGGAGAAACCAAACCCUGUUACAGUUAUAGAGGCUACAGUGUCAGAAGAUUUCUGUGCUUUACCAUCACUCCCAAUGUCAGUAGAACUUGGGGUGCUGCAGCUGGUCAGUGUCAGUGUCACACCGCUCCCAGCUGCAGGGCCCCCAUUUAGGGUCCUUCAGCAACGACCACACGGAAGACUUAGGGCCCAGAGAACAUUUUCCACCCAAAGAGUGCCUUGGGUUUCCGAAAGCAAAGGAUUCUGGUUCACCCUGUGCCCCAUGUGCGCUGCCCCAUCCCGUGGAGUUGACAUGAAUGAGCUGAAUGGAUUAUUAGAAGAGGUAGUAAAUGAUACUGUUGAAAUGCCCAUUAGCACAUCCUAUGAGCUCCAACAAACACAAAUGGGGACUCCAGAGAACCGCAUGGCCUUGGAUUAUCUGCUUGCUGGCCAAGGAGGAACCUGGGCUAUCAGGGCACGGGGAUGUUGCACUGCUAGCAGUGAUGGGUUUGAAGGCCAACAGUCAGGAAUCACCUUGACAGAAGGAGCAGUAGAAGAGUGGCAGAAAGAAGAAAAUUCUUCUUGGUGGGAUUGGCUUCGUGGCUGCCAAAUUAGAGGCUGCUGUGAAAUGCAUUGGUGGCAGGGCCUGUCAUCAUUGCAGUGUGUGCACUUGGUGAGUUGCUGUGACACUUUGUGCUGGGAAGUGGAGUAAUGGGACCUUUCUUAAAAGAGACAGUCUCAAGAAAAGAGAGGCAUUUGAUAAAUAACAGAGAAUAGCAACUAUUUAGGCAUGUUUUAAAAGGAACGUGAAUAGCUCUGAGUAAUGAAGUUAAACUGCACUUAAUUGUAGAACAAGAGGAGAUGCCUUUAUGCCUAAUACCUAAAUCUAAGCUGUGUUACUGAAAGAAUUGUUACAAAGGUUGUAGUUGAUUGUAGGUCUCAGGACCGAUCAAAGUACCAAGGCCUGAACAGGUUGUGAUCAGGGCCUGAACAGGCCCUGAGGCAAAGCUCACCUCUAGAUGAAUCUUCCAAGCAAAUGUUGUAUUUGUAUCCACUCAUUAAGGAAGCAUGAUUAACAACACGAUCAAUGCAUGUGUUCCUUGAUAAAACAUGGAUUUAUCUUUCUGUAUUUAGAAACAGACAAGGCCCCAUCUGGCCUUGUUUGGGGGUGAAGGAUCAAAGUCAACUCCCUUGGUUCCUCCUUCAGCCCUGGCCAGGCUUUGGGAGAAAGCAGUCAGGAGAAUGAAAGCAGAUGUUCUCGCAGUGGCAGUGAUGCCAGCUUGUUUGUUUAACAGUGUAAAAGCUGGGUCCUCUCACAGCUUUGGGGUUGGAACAUCAUUGCUUGCAGAGGUGGAGGCACCUGCAGGAAUUCCCAGUGUCUGGGAGUGGCUCUCCAGUCCUUGGCUUCCCCCAGCUGAUGUGUGGCUGUGGAUGAUGGUAAAGCCUGAGGCUAACUGGUGAUGGAUCUUUCCUUAAUCACUCCAGGCAAUCUCUGGUAGCAAUGACUGGAUGCAUUGCUGAGCUUCUUUUGUAAUGCUUUGCUAAUGAUGAUGUGCUUUGCUGAGCUUAUCCUUUUGUAAUUCUUUGCAGCUGUGCAUGAUAUAAAUGACACAAUUCCUUCA